rnacentral:tRNA from 1 species
GCCUUUUUAGUAUAAAAAGUAUAUUUGGCUUCCAACCAGAAGGACUAGAUUGUUCUAGAAAAGGCA